CUUUACUGUAACUUUGCGCUGGCAUUCGUGUCGGCAUGUGUAGGAUAGGUGGUAGACAUUGAAGUUCGGGCGCCAGCUCGGAUGGAGUCACCCUUGAAAUACCACCCUUAUCGACAUGGAUGUCUAACCGCGACCCGUUAUCCGGGUCCGGGACAGCGCAUGGUGGGCAGUUUGACUGGGGCGGUCGCCUCCCAAAGAGUAACGGAGGCGCGCGAAGGUGGGCUCAGACCGGUCGGAAAUCGGUCGCUGAGUGCAAUGGCAUAAGCCCGCUUGACUGCGAGACUGACAAGUCGAGCAGAGUCGAAAGACGGCCAUAGUGAUCCGGUGGUUCCUCGUGGAAGGGCCAUCGCUCAACGGAUAAAAGGUA
rnacentral:rRNA from 1 species